UCCCCCGCCCCCCCCUUCCCCGCCGCCCUUCUCCUCCUCUUCCUCAUCCUCCAGCGCAGGCGGCGAUGCUGAAUCACGGCGGGCAGCCGCCCCGCUCCGCCGCCUCUCCCCGGGGACAGCAGCCCGGCUGUCGGCGGAGCCCCCCCGACUGCCGGCGGGCAGGGGGCUGAGGGGAGACGGCGGUUAAACGGCCGCCGGCAGGGGCGGCACGGGCGGAGGGGGGGAUGCAGGCGCCCCGCCGCUCCCCUCACCGUUACCUGGCGAGGCGGCCCCGGCACCGCGCUCCUCUCGGGGGGCGCCUCACGGUCGGCGCAGUGAUGUGAGGGGCGGUGCGGCGAGAAAUACAACGUGCUAGGAGGCAGCAAGAGUAUGACUGCUCAUUAUGGGAGCACAAGCCAAGAGAGAUCCCCCUGCCACAGAACAAGAGCCUCAGCAACCCAUCUCAUAUCAUCUGGGCAAGAAAGAUAAGCAGCAUAGGAGUCAACUCAUAGGAGAGCUAAGGA